AUUGAACGCUGGCGGCAUGCCUUACACAUGCAAGUCGAGCGGCAGCGCGGGGGCAACCCUGGCGGCGAGCGGCGGACGGGUGAGUAAUGCAUCGGAACGUGUCCUCUUGUGGGGGAGUAACCAGUCGAAAGACUGGCUAAUACCGCAUGAGCUCGUAAGAGGAAAGCAGGGGACCCGCAAGGGCCUUGCGCGAGAGGAGCGGCCGAUGCCCGAUUAGCAGUUGGCGGGGUAAAAGCCCACCAAGGCGACGAUCGGUAGCUGGUCUGAGAGGACGACCAGCCACACUGGGACUGAGACACGGCCCAGACUCCUACGGGAGGCAGCAGUGGGGAAUUUUGGACAAUGGGGGAAACCCUGAUCCAGCCAUGCCGCGUGUGUGAAGAAGG
rnacentral:rRNA from 1 species